rnacentral:rRNA from 1 species
AGAUAGGGCUUCUUCCUUCGGGAGCAGAGUGACAGGUGGUUGCUAAUGGUUGUCGUCAGCUCGUGUUCGUGAGAUGUUGGGUUAAGUCCCGCAACGAGCGCAACCCUUGAUCUUAGUUGCCAUCAUUAAGUUGGGCACUCUAAGGUGACUGCCGGUGACANAACCGGAGGUAAGGUUGGGGAUGACGUCCAAAUCAUCAUGCCCCUUAUGACCUGGGCUACACUACGUGCUACAAUGGACGGUACAAAGAGCUUGCAAGACCGCGAGGUGGAGCUAAUCUCAUAAAACCGUUCUCAGUUCGGAUUGUAGGCUGCAACUCGCCUACAUGAAGCUGGAAUCGCUAGUAAUCGCGGAUCAGCAUGCCGCGGUGAAUACGUUCCCGGGCCUUGUACACACCGCCCGUCACACCACGAGAGUGUUGUAACACCCGAAGUCGGUGGGGUAACCUUUUUGGAGCCAGCCGCCUAAGGUGGGACAGAUGAUUGGGGUGAAGUCGUACANUGU